UGUCAUGUUAUCGAUAUGUGAAUACAUAGCAUAUCAGAAGGCACACCCGGAGAACUGAAACAUCUUAGUACCCGGAGGAAGAGAAAGAAAAUUCGAUUCCCUUAGUAGCGGCGAGCGAAACGGGAAGAGCCCAAACCAACAAGCUUGCUUGUUGGGGUUGUAGGACACUCUAUACGGAGUUACAAAGGACGACAUUAGACGAAUCAUCUGGAAAGAUGAAUCAAAGAAGGUAAUAAUCCUGUAGUCGAAAAUGUUGUCUCUCUUGAGUGGAUCCUGAGUACGACGGAGCACGUGAAAUUCCGUCGGAAUCUGGGAGGACCAUCUCCUAAGGCUAAAUACUCUCUAGUGACCGAUAGUGAACCAGUACCGUGAGGGAAAGGUGAAAAGCACCCCGGAAGGGGAGUGAAAUAGAACCUGAAACCGUGUGCUUACAAGUAGUCAGAGCCCGUUAAUGGGUGAUGGCGUGCCUUUUGUAGAAUGAACCGGCGAGUUACGAUUUGAUGCAAGGUUAAGCAGUAAAUGUGGAGCCGUAGCGAAAGCGAGUCUGAAUAGGGCGUUUAGUAUUUGGUCGUAGACCCGAAACCAGGUGAUCUACCCUUGGUCAGGUUGAAGUUCAGGUAACACUGAAUGGAGGACCGAACCGACUUACGUUGAAAAGUGAGCGGAUGAACUGAGGGUAGCGGAGAAAUUCCAAUCGAACCUGGAGAUAGCUGGUUCUCUCCGAAAUAGCUUUAGGGCUAGCCUCAAGUGAUGAUUAUUGGAGGUAGAGCACUGUUUGGACGAGGGGCCCCUCUCGGGUUACCGAAUUCAGACAAACUCCGAAUGCCAAUUAAUUUAACUUGGGAGUCAGAACAUGGGUGAUAAGGUCCGUGUUCGAAAGGGAAACAGCCCAGACCACCAGCUAAGGUCCCAAAAUAUAUGUUAAGUGGAAAAGGAUGUGGCGUUGCCCAGACAACUAGGAUGUUGGCUUAGAAGCAGCCAUCAUUUAAAGAGUGCGUAAUAGCUCACUAGUCGAGUGACACUGCGCCGAAAAUGUACCGGGGCUAAACAUAUUACCGAAGCUGUGGAUUGUCCUUUGGACAAUGGUAGGAGAGCGUUCUAAGGGCGUUGAAGCAUGAUCGUAAGGACAUGUGGAGCGCUUAGAAGUGAGAAUGCCGGUGUGAGUAGCGAAAGACGGGUGAGAAUCCCGUCCACCGAUUGACUAAGGUUUCCAGAGGAAGGCUCGUCCGCUCUGGGUUAGUCGGGUCCUAAGCUGAGGCCGACAGGCGUAGGCGAUGGAUAACAGGUUGAUAUUCCUGUACCACCUAUAAUCGUUUUAAUCGAUGGGGGGACGCAGUAGGAUAGGCGAAGCGUGCGAUUGGAUUGCACGUCUAAGCAGUAAGGCUGAGUAUUAGGCAAAUCCGGUACUCGUUAAGGCUGAGC
rnacentral:rRNA from 1 species